UAAAUGCUAUUUUUUAUUUUUUAUUUAUUUAUUUUUUUUUGCUGAAUCAUUCUUUCUCACUUUAUCCCUCCCUUUUUUUUUUAGAAAACGGUAGCGAACUAUCUGCUUCAUUCAUUAAAUAAGAUGAACUUAGUGGACAAUAUGGAAGCAGUUAGGGCUUCCGAAAGGCAGCGAAAACAGUAAAAAAGGAAAGAAAAAAGUAUAAUAAGGGAGUGGGGAGUGAGGAAAAAGAAAGAAAAAAGAAAAGGAAGAGGGUAAAAAAGGUGCGGU
rnacentral:lncRNA from 1 species